AGAGUUUGAUCCUGGCUCAGAAUGAACGCUGGCGGCGUGCUUAACACAUGCAAGUCGAACGCGAAAGUCCUUCGGGAUGAGUAAAGUGGCGAACGGGUGCAUAACGCGUAGGAAUCUACCCUUGGGUGAAGGAUACCCUAGAGAAAUUUAGGCUAAUACUGCAUAAGCCGGGAAACCGGGAAAGGUGGCCUCUUGCUACCGCACAAGGAUGAGCCUGCGUACUAUUAGUUAGUUGGUGAGGUAAAGGCUCACCAAGACGAAGAUGGUUAGCUGGCCUGAGAGGGUGUACAGCCACAAUGGGACUGAGAUACGGCCCAUACUCCUACGGGAGGCAGCAGUGGGGAAUAUUGCACAAUGGGCGAAAGCCUGAUGCAGCGACGCCGCGUGGAGGAUGAAGGUUUUCGGAUUGUAAACUCCUGUUAAGUGGGAAGAAAGAACACGGGUUAAUACCCCGUGGAGAUGACGGUACCACUAGAGAAAGCACCGGCUAACUUCGUGCCAGCAGCCGCGGUAAUACGAGGGGUGCAAGCGUUAUUCGGAAUAACUGGGCGUAAAGAGCGCGUAGGCGGCUUGUUAAGUCUGUUGUUAAAUUACCUAGCUUAACUGGGAAGAGGCAAUAGAAACUGGCGAGCUAGAGGACAAGAGAGAGAAGUGGAAUUCUCGGAGUAGCGGUAAAAUGCGUAGAUCUCGAGAGGAACACCGAUGGCGAAGGCAGCUUCUUGGCUUGUAUCUGACGCUCAAGUGCGAAAGCGUGGGGGAGCAAACAGGAUUAGAUACCCUGGUAGUCCACGCUGUAAACGAUGAUCACUGGAUAUGGGAUUUGCAAAGCAGAUUCUGUGUCGAAGCUAACGCGUUAAGUGAUCCGCCUGGGGAGUACGGUCGCAAGAUUAAAACUCAAAGAAAUUGACGGGGGUCCGCACAAGCGGUGGAACAUGUGGUUUAAUUCGACACUACGCGAGGAACCUUACCUGGGCUUGACAUGUAAUUGUUACUGAUGGAAACAUCGGGUUUCACGGGAAACCGUGAACUGUUACACAGGUGCUGCAUGGCUGUCGUCAGCUCGUGUCGUGAGAUGUUGGGUUAAGUCCUUUAACGAGCGCAACCCUUGCCGUUAGUUGCUAUUGCGAAAGCAAGCACUCUAGCGGGACUGCCUGGGAAACCAGGAGGAAGGUGGGGAUGACGUCAAGUCCGCAUGGCCCUUAUGUCCAGGGCUACACACGUGUUACAAUGGUGAGUACAAACGGAAGCAAGACCGCGAGGUGGAGCAAACCUGAUAAAACUCAUCUAAGUUCGGAUUGAAGUCUGCAACUCGACUUCAUGAAGUUGAAAUCGCUAGUAAUCGCGCAUCAGAACGGCGCGGUGAAUACGUUCUCGGACCUUGUACACACCGCCCGUCACACCAUGGGAGCUGUCUACACCCGAAAUUAUUUUAGCUAACCUUUACCGGAGGCGGGUAAUGAAGGUGAGGAGAGUGACUGGGGUGAAGUCGUAACAAGGUAACCGUA
rnacentral:rRNA from 1 species